CAUAAUACUCAAUAAUAUUCAGAAUAUUUAAAAUAAAUCCAUAAUAUUUAACAAUGUUCAUAAAAUUAAAAAUAAAUUCAUAAUACUUAACAAUCGUCAUAAAAUUUAAAAUAAAUCAAUUAUACUUAACAAUGUUCAUAAAACUAAAAACUAAUCUAUGAAUUUAUUGAACCAUCUGAUAGAGAAGUACAAUCUGCAGUUGGAUUAUGCGGUGAAGAUCUUUUUUUGUUCUUCAAUGAUUUCAUCUGAUCUUUUAUUUGCUUUUCUAUCUGCACUCGCAUUUGCUCUUGCAUUUGCUCUUGCAUUUGCUCUAUGUCUUGUUUCAUUUUGACCCGGUUUUGCUCUAAUAUUUGUUCAACCUCCUCUAAAGAAAACAUAGUUUGAGAAGGUCCUCCAGGAUGAGCUGAUGUGCAUGAGAAAGAGGUAGUUGGAGUUCCAAAUUUUGCAAUAUCAGAAGAUCCAAAAUCAUAAACCCUCCCUUUACUACUUCCAGAAAUUUCCAUCCACUUAUUCAAAUCAAAAGCAGACUGACUAUCACAAUUGUCAUUCACAUUUUCAGNN
rnacentral:lncRNA from 1 species